rnacentral:tRNA from 1 species
UGGGGGAUCGUCUAACGGUAGGACCCGAGAUUCUGGCUCUCGUUGUGGGGGUUCGAAUCCUCCUCCCCCAGCCA